GGCCGAGUGGCGCAACUGAAUAGCGCACUUGAUUACGGCUCAAGAGGUUACAGGUUUGAAUCCUGUCUCGGUCA
rfam:Chishuiella changwenlii strain DSM 27989 genome assembly, contig: Ga0131172_107